rnacentral:rRNA from 1 species
UACAGAGGGUGCGAGCGUUAAUCGGAAUUACUGGGCGUAAAGGGCGCGUAGGUGGGUAAUUAAGUUGGAUGUAAAAGCCCUGGGCUUAACCUAGGAAUGUCAUCCAAGACUGGGUACCUAGAGUACAGUAGAGGGAAGUGGAAUUUCCGGUGUAGCGGUGAAAUGCGUAGAUAUCGGAAGGAACAUCAGUGGCGAAGGCGACUUUCUGGACUGAUACUGACACUGAGGCGCGAAAGCGUGGGGAGCAAACAGG